CACAGGCAAAAAAAGAGGAGAGAAAAUUGUCUUCCCUCAGGAAGUGAGAAGGAGCUUCUGGGAUUCUAUGACAGGCCGAGGGGGAUUUUACCCAGGUGUUCACCAAGGGGCAAAGCUGGCUCCCAGCUGCCAGCUGUCACUACUAAGUGGGGAACCAAGAGAGAGCCAGUGACCCAAAAACUCCCUCCUUGAGCACAACCUCUCCUCAUCUCUCCUUUCCCUUUUUGUGUGUCCGGAUCUGACCAUGUAAAUUAUACUGCAAGAUGUGCAACAGGGAUGUCCAUAUCAUAUACAAUAAUUUCCAUGCAUUUGAGUUUGCAUUUGUAUUGCUACUCUCAUUGACAUGGGAGUAAAUCAGAGCUUUGUGAGGCAGUUGAGUGGGAUGCAGCCUCUGUACACAAUGGCUGAUGAUUUUGCUCUGUUCCCUCCUCCGCUGAAGUGCCAGAGCAUCCUUCCUCCCCAAAGUGCACCUCUCCAAACAUGCAAUGAUAGCGCUGAUUUUAAUUACCUCUCACGACUGCCGAGGUUGUGGCUGCCUGACGCGCAGCGGGGAGGAUCUUCUGGAUUUAUCUCUGGAAACACCUGCACUGCUUUUGCUCUCUCUCUCUCUCUCUCUCUCUCUCUCCUAGACAGAUGUGUUCGGUCAUCUCCUCUAAGCAAUACUUAAUGACUCUGAAGACAAAAAGGGUUCUGCUAAGACGAACACUGCAAAGCUGGCAUGAUGAGGUCCUUCUUGAACGUUAUGCCACAUGGAUGCCCUUCACAAGAGCCCCUGGGGGAUGUGUUCGGAGCCCUUCAUCUCAUCAAACCCUGCUGCUGUCUUCAAAACAAGAGACGCACAAAUGAAAACACUCAACUUUAAGGAAACAUUGCUAAUGUUUGAUGGCGUUGAUUAGCUGAAGUGUUACAUAAGAAGCAAUAAACCAAUGACAAAUAUAUUUAUUUAAUUUUAUUAAA